UUUGUACUCCCUUCGUCCCAAAAUUCUUGUUUUAAAUUUGUCUAGAUAUAUAUGUAUCUAGUCACGUUUUAGUAUUUAGAUACAUCCAUUUCUAAACAAACUUAAGACAAGAAUUUUGAGACGGAGGGAGUAAUAA
rnacentral:pre_miRNA from 1 species